GAUGCUCAGCGGGGCUAAAAAUAAUCAACUUUUUACACUGCAGCUCUCACUGUAUUUGGUUUCUGUUCCCCUGACUCUUUUCUUUCUUGUUAAAUAAUCCAGGCUUCAGGAAUGAGACGGUGUCACUGAGGAUUUUUUACUUUUCUUCGAGAUUGACUCGAGGCUUGCGUGGAGCAGUCGGGCGGCGGUGGCAUGGCCUUGUCGUUUUGCGGCAACGACGCGGGUAUCAACUCCUACAGCGUGGACUCGGGCGUGCUGAACAAUGGCUGCUUCGUGGACGCUCUCAACCUGGUUCCCCAUGUCUUCCUGCUCUUCAUCACCUUCCCCAUCCUCUUCAUCGGUUGGGGCAGUCAGAGCUCCAAAGUCCAGAUCCAUCACAACACAUGGCUUCAUUUCCCCGGACACAACAUGAGAUGGAUCCUCACCUUCUCGCUGCUCUUUGUCCACGUGUGCGAGUUCGCAGAGGGCAUCGUCUCCAACAAGAUGAUGGACACCAACCACCUCCAUCUCUUCAUGCCAGCCUUCAUGGGGUUCGUCGCAGCCACGACGUCAGUGGUUUACUACCACAACAUCGAGACAUCCAACUUCCCCAAACUGCUGCUGGUCCUGUUCAUCUACUGGGUGCUGGCGUUCAUCACAAAGACCAUUAAGCUGUGGAAGUUUGCAGUGUACGACGUUGGACCUGAGCACCUGCGGUUCUGCAUCACAGCCCUAUUAGUGAUCCUGUACGGACUGCUGAUGGCCGUGGAGAUCAACGUCAUAAGAAUCAGAAAAUACGUGUUCUUUGCCAGCCCCCAGAAGGUGAAACCACCAGAGGAUUUGCAGGAUUUGGGGGUUCGCUUUCUGCAGCCGUUUGUCAACCUGCUGUCUAAGGCGACAUACUGGUGGAUGAAUCCUCUCAUCAUUGGAGCCCAUAAAAGGCCCAUAGAGCUGAAGAAGAUCGGCAAGCUGCCCAUCGCCAUGAGAGCCCUCACCAACUACCUACGGCUCAAAGAUGCUUACGAGGAUCAAAGGACACCUGAGGACCCGAAUCGAGCCCCGUCAAUCUGGCUCUCCAUGUACCGAGCGUUUGGUCGUCCCAUCCUGCUCAGCAGCACUUUCCGUUACCUGGCCGACCUGCUGGGUUUCGUCGGGCCGCUCUGCAUCUCUGGCAUCGUAAAGUACAUGCAGAAUGGAACACAUACUGCACCGCCAGACAAGAUCAAGGGGACAUUUUUAGGCGUGUACUUCAUGUCUACCACUGAGCUGCUGCAGAACACCUCAGUCCUGGCCGUGCUUCUCUUCCUGGCUUUAAUCCUGCAGAGGACCUUCCUACAGGCCUCGUACUACGUCACCAUAGAGACCGGCAUCAACCUGCGGGGAGCCCUGCUGGCGAUGAUUUACAACAAGAUCCUGCGUCUGUCCACCUCCAACAUGUCCAUGGGGGAGAUGACACUGGGACAGAUCAACAACCUGGUUGCCAUAGAGACCAACCAGCUGAUGUGGUUCCUCUUCCUCUGCCCCAACCUGUGGGCCAUGCCUGUGCAGAUCGUGAUGGGAGUGAUCCUGCUCUACUAUUUGUUGGGCUGCAGUGCUUUGGUUGGAGCAGCUGUCAUAGUUCUGCUGGCUCCAGUCCAGUAUCACAUCGCUACCAAGCUGGCAGACACACAGAAGAGCACACUAGAACACUCAACAGAUCGUCUGAAAAAGACCACAGAGAUUUUAAAGGGCAUAAAGCUGCUGAAGCUGUAUGCCUGGGAGAACAUCUUCUGUGACAGCGUGGAGGACACUAGAGGCAAAGAGCUCACAAGUCUUAAGACCUUCGCCUUCUACACAUCCAUGUCCAUCUUCAUGAAUGCUGCUAUCCCCAUCGCUGCCGUUCUUGCGACGUUUGUGACGCAUCACUUCCUCAAUAAAGUCGGUCCCACUCCUUCUGAGGCCUUCGCAGCUCUGGCGUUGUUCCACAUCCUGGUCACCCCUCUGUUCCUGCUCUCCACUGUGGUCAGAUUUGCAGUCAAGGCUCUGGUCAGUGUCCAGAAGCUUGGUGAGUUUCUUCAGAGUGACGAAAUUGGAGACGACUGCUGGAGAAACGGAGACAUGUCUCUUUCCAUGGAAGCAGGAAAGAAACACCUGGGAGUGACCAAAGCCAUCAACAGGAAGCAGCCAAUGCGCUACCAGAUGGACCACUACGAGCAGCCGACCAGGCGACAGAUGAGGCCGACGGAGACAGAGGAUGUGGCUGUAAAGGUGAGCAAUGGAUUCUUCACGUGGGGAAGCAACCUGUCCACGCUGUCAGACAUCAACAUCCGCAUCCCCACAGGUCAGCUGACGAUGAUUGUAGGCCAGGUGGGUUGUGGGAAAUCCUCCCUGCUGCUGGCCAUGCUGGGCGAGAUGCAGACCAUCGAUGGAAGAGUCUACUGGAGCAACAAGAACAGAUACUCUGUGGCCUACGCUACCCAGAAGUCCUGGCUGCUCAAUGCUACAGUGGAGGAAAACAUCACCUUUGGCAGCCCAUUCAACAAACAGAGGUACAAGGCCGUGAUCGAUGCCUGCUCUCUGCAGCCAGACAUUGACCUGCUGCCUUUUGGAGAUCAAACUGAGAUUGGAGAGAGGGGCAUCAACCUGAGUGGAGGUCAGAGACAGAGAAUCUGUGUGGCCAGAGCUCUCUACCAGAACACCAACAUCGUCUUCUUGGACGAUCCCUUCUCAGCGCUGGACAUCCACCUCAGUGAUCACCUGAUGCAGGAAGGAAUCCUCAAGUUCCUGCAGGAUGAUAAACGGACUGUAGUCCUGGUCACCCACAAACUGCAGUACCUCAUACACGCAGACUGGAUUAUAGCGAUGAAGGACGGCUCUGUGCUGAGAGAGGGGACGCUGAAGGACAUCCAGACUCAUGACAUUGAGCUUUAUGAUCACUGGAAGACCCUGAUGAACAGACAAGACCACGGCCUGGAGAAGGACGUACAGCAGGACAGUCAAACAACACUAGAGAGGAAAACACUGAGGAGAGCUUUCUACUCCAGAGAGGCCAAGAACCAAAUCGACGACGAGGACGAAGAGGAAGAAGAGGAGGAGGAAGAUGACGACAACAUGUCCACAAUGACAAACAGAAGAUCAAAGAUCCCAUGGAGGGUGUGUUGGUGUUACCUGUCCUCUGGUGGCUUCCUCAUGGUCUUCCUGAUGGUGUCCUCUAAACUUCUCAAACACUCUGUCAUCGUUGCCAUCGACUACUGGCUGGCCAUCUGGACUUCCUCCAAAACCGAUCAGGCUAAUACAGGAACAGACGCUGCAAACGGAACCAGCCUGGCUGACCGUUUUAGUGGGAACGGCACGCUGCCCACGCCCACGCCUAACCUGGGGGAUGAGGCCGACUCCCACUAUCUGCCGGUGUUUAUCGUCCUGUGUGCGGCUGGAAUCACGCUAUGCCUCAUCACCUCUCUCACUGUGGAGUUUCUGGGUCUGUCUGCAGCCACCAGCCUGCACCACAACCUGCUCAACAAGAUCAUCCACGCCCCCAUCAGGUUCUUUGACAUCACUCCCCUGGGACAGAUCCUCAACAGAUUCUCUGCGGACACCAACAUCAUAGACCAGCAUAUUCCUCCAACACUGGAGUCUUUGACCAGAUCCACGUUGCUCUGUUUGUCAGCCAUCGGGGUCAUAUCCUCCAUCACUCCACUCUUCAUGGUCGCCUUGCUUCCCCUGGGCGUGGCCUUCUACUUCAUCCAAAAGUACUUCCGAGUGGCGUCCAAGGACCUGCAGGACCUGGAUGACUCCACACAGCUGCCCCUGCUCUGCCACUUCUCUGAGACCGCUGAAGGGCUCACCACUAUAAGAGCAUUUAGACACGAGGCUCGUUUCAAGCAGCGUAUGCUGGAGCUGACAGACACCAAUAACACCGCCUACCUGUUUCUGUCUGCCGCCAACCGCUGGCUGGAGGUCCGAACGGACUACCUCGGAGCAGUGAUCGUGCUGUCAGCAGCAGGAGCCGCCAUAUGGAGCCCGAUGAAGUUGACCUACGUAGGCCUGGUGGGCCUCGGACUUACGUACGCCCUCACUGUCACCAACUAUCUGAACUGGGUGGUUAGGAACCUGGCAGACCUGGAGGUCCAGAUGGCGGCUGUGAAGAAGGUCAACAGCUUCCUCAGCACAGAGUCAGAGAACUACGAGGGAUCUAUGGAUGCCUCCCAGGUGCCUGAGAACUGGCCUCAGACCGGUGAGAUAAAGAUCCAGGACCUGUGUGUGCGCUACGACCCCAUGCUCAAACCAGUGCUCAAACACGUCAACAUGUACAUCGAGCCCGGCCAGAAGGUGGGAAUCUGUGGUCGCACCGGCAGCGGGAAGUCAUCUCUGUCGUUGGCCUUCUUCAACAUGGUGGAUAUUUUUGAAGGGAAGAUCGUCAUCGACGGGAUCGACAUCUGUAAACUUCCUCUGCAGACACUCAGGUCGCGACUGUCCAUCAUCCUCCAGGACCCUGUGUUAUUCAGCGGAUCAAUAAGGUUCAAUCUGGAUCCAGACAAGAUGUGCACUGAUGAUCGACUCUGGGAGGCGCUAGAGAUCGCCCAGUUGAAGAACAUGGUGAAAGCUCUGCCUGGAGGACUCGACGCCGUCGUCACAGAAGGCGGAGAGAACUUCAGCGUCGGUCAGAGGCAGCUCUUCUGUUUGGCCCGAGCUUUUGUCAGAAACAGCAGCAUCCUCAUCAUGGACGAAGCCACAGCAUCUAUAGACAUGGCCACGGAGAACAUCUUACAGAAAGUGGUGAUGACAGCGUUUGCAGACAGAACAGUCGUCACAAUCGCACACCGUGUCCACACCAUCCUAACAGCCGAUCUGGUCAUUGUGAUGAAGCGAGGGAACAUUUUGGAGUACGACAAACCUGAGACUCUUUUGGAGCAGGAGGACGGGAUGUUUGCUUCGUUCGUCCGGGCUGACAUGUAGACACACACGAGUCGGUCAGCAAGGCCCUAAAAACUCACAAACUGAUGAGUUGGAUCAAUCUACUUAUUUUAGUUUUCUUAAUGAGGCGGACAGACCUCUGUGACACUACAACACUCCAGGGAAGCCAAUAAUGUGAGUCUUUAACAAGAAGCUUCUCAGAUCCAGAAACAUCAUCUAUCAGCAGUUUACCAGUCGAUAAAUUGUACUUGAAUCGUCAGUCGCCAAAUAAAUACAUAAUGCCUUUUUUAAACAUAGAAAUGACAUGAAGGAACACCGUACGUCAUCAUAUAUCAAGUCCAUCAGUCAGUUUAUCCAGUUUUCAUAUUGUAAAUCAGCAGAUACACAUAUCCAAAGAGUUUUUACUACGUUAAAAAAUUAAGAUAUUUUUGGAUUAUUGAUAUUUAAGCAGCCAGUAUUAAGAAAUUAAAAAAAAGGUUUUUGUGUCCUAGAUGUAAAAUAUGAUGCUAAUGGCUACAUCUUGAUUUUGUCAGAGAUAACUUGAGCUAAAUAUAGCUGCAAGAUAACAGACUAAUAUCGUUCUUGUGGUGUAGGACUGAGAAUACUGAAAGAAUAUAGCCAAAAUUAUUCAAAGAUUAAUGUCAGCAAAUCCUACGAAAAGAUCAAAACCACCAAAUGCUACAUGGACACUCAGCCUUAGUCUGUCUCUGAAUACUUCUUGACUUCCUGUCUGUAGCUUUCAGCCCUGAGCCCAUUGGUUCCUCCUGAAGACUUUUUUGUAAAUGCUUACAAAUAUACAGUUACAUUUUAAAAAACAAAGCCUCGGUAAUUUUCUUAAAGAGCUUGUCACAGUUUUUAUCAAACAAGCAGGAGAAAACCGGGCAUUUGUCAGACCCCAGUACACACAAUACUUGUCAGUAGAUACAUUCACUAGUGGUUAUGUUUCUUUUCAUGGAUUUGUUGACAAUAAGAAAAAUAUAGAACAUCUCCAGACUGAUGAUUUGAAGGGGACUGAUAUAUUUUUCAUUCUGGACCCUAUUUUCCUAUGUUCUUGUUCCUAAGUGACGAAUGGGAACAACGGGUUUUGAGACUGGUCCAGUGCUGAGUCAGAGCUGCAACGUGAUCACUCGGAGCAUAAGAUAUGCACCGUUAAUGUACGUCCACUGUACGUGUUUUUGUCACUGACAGGCUCAGAUUGUUACUCUGAGUUUCUGACACCAUUAUGGAAAGGAUCCCUAGAAGAUCCUUUUUGUUUAACCAGAAACAGGCCCGAAAUCCAUUCGUCUGUUUUCAACUCUUCAGUUGAAAAUAGACGAAUGGAUUUUGUGUAGCACGCUUAGCAAAGUGUUACUCUCCCCAGCAACACUUUCCAGCUCCUCCUGGGGGACCCAAAGCAUUCCCAGGCCAGAUAUGAGACAUGUUAUCCCUCCAAAGGUCCAAAGGUCCCUCCGCGACCUCAUUCUUUCGGUCACUACCUAGAGCUCAUGACCAUAGGUGAGGGUUGGGACAUAGAUGGACCAGUAAAUGGAACGCUUUGCCUUUUGGCUCAGCUCCCUCUUCACCACGAUAGUCCAGCGCAGUGCCCGCAUCACUGCAGACGCCACACCAAACUGCUGUUUUAUCUCACGCUCCAUUCUACCCUCACUGUGAACAAGACCCCGAGAUACGUGAACUCCUUCCUUUGGGACAGUAACUCACUUUCAACCCGGAGGGGGCAAUCCACAGUUUUCCGGAAGGGGCGGAGACCUCAUCGCCAAAGUCACCAAACUCCAUUUUAUCAUUAUUAAAACACACUUCAUUACAAGUCGACGGAAACAAAAUAAAACUCGCCAAAAACAUCUUGGUCCGUCUUUUUACUGUUCCAACAAUCACCAGCUUUGGUUUGGUUGUAAUAAACCUUAAAUUUACUCAGUUAAAUGUGAAACUAUGCUGCCUCUAUACACACUAAAAUUACUGUUUAUUUAAAUAGAGUCUGGUGGUUUGGGUGAUAGUGGUUUCAAAGCUGUUUCUGGUUAAACAAAAAGGAUCUUACUCUUUAACAAAAAGCUCUGUCUCUGUCGGGAUCCUUUCCAUGAUGUUGUCAGACACUUAUAUUAACAAUCUGACCCUGUCAGUGACAAAAACAAACACUUUAAGUGGAUGUACACUAACGAUGCGAAUUUGUUCUCAUUAGUCACUCACACAAAAACACGGAAAAAAUAGGGUCCAGGUUUAAAAAUACCAAAGUCCCCUUUAAGUUCUGUCCCUGUCCAGGACCUCCGUCCAUCAGCAUAUCAUCUGAAAAUCAAUCACAGGUCAGUGAUGUGAUCGAGUUUGAACUCUCAUUGACCAGAUGAGUUAAAUAAGAAGUGUAUUUAAAUGCAGUUUAGUUUUAAUUUCAGGUGUUUGAUAAUGAUAUGUGAAGACUUUGGACACUCACUGUGUCCGUUGAUCUCUGGAUUUAUACUGCGGAGUUGUUUAUUAGAUAGUUUUAGACUGAGCUGAACUUUUAGCUUCUGUAAGGAUCAUUUUAAAUUUAUAGAGUUUAAAAAGUCUUUAAUUAUCUUGUUAAUAUUUGUUGCGUUUAUAUACACGUCACGUAUUAGUUUUUAUUACUCGUCAGCACUCAUAUUAUGCAAUAAUAAGGAAAAAUCCUUUUUAAAAAGACUGAAUGAUGUUUCUGUGCUUUGCAUACAUGAAUGCAUUGUGCAGUCUGUCACUGUAAAGAAUUUAAUAAUGAUAUGUAAUAUUUUAGACCCUGGUGUAGUAUGUGCUGCAUUUUUAUGUUAAGUUUCUGCCACAGAGGUAAGACUGAUAGAAGAGGCAGUUUUUAUAAACUCUCACCUGAGGCUGCAUUUAUAUCAGACGUUAGAGAACAGGGUGACGUCUCAAAGCUUUUGGACUGUAAAGUGGAUUUCUGUCUCCUGAACAAGUGCGACAAAGAAGGAAAUCAUCACUGAAGGAUCGAAGGCAUUUUGAUGUCUGUUUUAAAAACUUUUUUGCAACUUGUGAUCCCGAAAAAGAGACACUGGACUUUCAGAUGUCCUCAAUCUACUUGGAAUUUCCACCAGGAAGUCGACCUGUGUGUCUUUUCACAGUUUUGGUAAAGACAUGCAUGGGACAAGAUCAGCAGACAUCUUUCUACAACUAACUUUGGUGUAAAGAAGGCGGAAAUAUACCAGAAACAAAUCCAGAAUUUGCUCAUUCAAACAAACAAAUAGCUGAUUUAGACUUCACAGCUCUGUAGAACGCUCGCUUUAUUCUUUUUACUGUAUUAUAUUUAGUAAAAGUACAACUCAGAACUGGCAUCUCAUCGGGUACAAAGCUUUCAAACUGGCCGACAAAAGGCUUGAUUUGAAAUGAUUGAUUAAUUCCUUGUAAUUCAGGUAAAGAUUUCUGCAUUUAUAAACCCUUUUAGGGCCGACGACACAAUAAUAUAAUUUAUUAGCUGAAGGCAGUACAUGCCUCUCCCCCACAGGGCUGUAGGCUACACAGGAGUCUUAAAAUGUGUUUGUCUUGUUGUGUUAUUGGGAGCCAGAAUAGAAGGAGUCAUGGCUCAAAACCAGCCGCCACUGCCCGUCAACAAAAACAAAGACAACUAUGGUUAAAUGUGAUAAGACCAAAGGACUGGACGGAGGCCAUCAUCAAAAAUGCUCACAUGUGCAGCGCACACUUCAUAUCAGGUUAGGGAGAAAGUAUUUCCUGUUGUAGGGAUGAAUAAGGUUAUGUGUAUUAAGGGUUAUCAUGUCCACCUCAUCAGAAACUGGGGAGGGAUUAAGAGGAAUAUUGGAUUUCUCUGGAACGCUAACUUUUUAGCACAUUAGCUAACGUUAGCUUCCAUAGCAAAACAAACAAGUGUGGUCCUCCUUUGUAAGAUUGGCUUCCUGUGACAUCAUCCAUCCACUGAGUGAGAGCAUACGGGUCGGCCAGUCUGGUCCCGUUGGUCAGUGUUUACUUAUUCAAGUAACACUGGCGGUCCCGGAGAGUGAGUGACCUGACAUGGUGCGUUGGUAAAUUCAGUCUGAUGCUCUACACUAACAUGAGAGCCCUGUUGGUGGAAGAAACGCAGCGUUAUAUUUCUACAUA